AAUUCACUCUCCAGAGUUAAAGCCAGCAAAUAAAAACCUUCAAAAGAAGCUCCAGUGCAUGGGUUAUGUAGAGCAGCAUGAACCUCUGUGGAAACAAAGGGGAUUUUGUUAUUAUCCUCGCAAGGUUUCCUGUAACGCACAGGAAGGAUCCACAUCAAGAACAGAAGGCAUGGAUUGAAGGGCUAAAUACCAGAAGUAAGGUUCCAAGGAGACUGAUGAGUUCCAGACUCUUCUUCAUCUGGGAUUAGAAGUGGUAGAAAGCCUGGAAAUUCUCAGGCUUUAAAGAAGUUGUUGAUAUGUUGCUUUGUUCCUUGAAAGCAUUUCCCAAAGUUCAGUGCUGUAGUCGUGAAGCGAUACCUACGAAUUGUUAUCUCACCCACCAAGGUCAACAUACACCAACAUGCAAGUUACCAAAUCCUUGAACUGUUUUGAAUAAACUCAUUAAACUUUGGAAAUUUCAAGUCUUGGACUCUUUGUUGAUGUCUAAUGAAGGGCCUUGGAAGGAGGACAA